rnacentral:rRNA from 1 species
AAUGAACGCUGGCGGCAUGCCUUACACAUGCAAGUCGAACGGCAGCAUGACCUAGCUUGCUAGGUUGAUGGCGGGUGGCGAACGGGUGAGUAAUGCAUCGGAACGUGCCUUUUAGUGGGGGAUAACGUAGCGAAAGUUACGCUAAUACCGCAUAUUCUCUGAGGAGGAAAGCAGGGGACCUUCGGGCCUUGCGCUAGAAGAGCGGCCGAUGUCGGAUUAGCUAGUUGGUGAGGUAAAGGCUCACCAAGGCAACGAUCCGUAGCGGGUCUGAGAGGAUGAUCCGCCACACUGGGACUGAGACAAGGCCCAGACUCCUACGGGAGGCAGCAGUGGGGAAUUUUGGACAAUGGGCGCAAGCCUGAUCCAGCCAUGCCGCGUGAGUGAAGAAGGCCUUCGGGUUGUAAAGCUCUUUCGGCUGGGAAGAAAUCGCACCCUCUAAUACAGGGUGUGGAUGACGGUACCAGCAUAAGAAGCACCGGCUAACUACGUG